GCCCAAUUUCGCACGUGCCUGUGGUCGCGUGCCGGUCGGCGGAAGCGAUCAGGUUGAUCGCGACGCCCGCGAGCUUAUCAGGCUCACGGAAAGCGACUGGUGCCGGAGGCAACCGGCCUGUGGUGUCGCAAUACGACGCCCAGCGCGGCUUAAAGCAACGACGACACGGGCUUUU
rnacentral:sRNA from 1 species